rnacentral:rRNA from 1 species
UGACUGCGUACCUUUUGUAUAAUGGGUCAGCGACUUAUAUUCUGUAGCAAGGUUAACCGUAUAGGGGAGCCGAAGGGAAACCGAGUCUUAACUGGGCGUUAAGUUGCAGGGUAUAGACCCGAAACCCGGUGAUCUAGCCAUGGGCAGGUUGAAGGUUGGGUAACACUAACUGGAGGACCGAACCGACUAAUGUUGAAAAAUUAGCGGAUGACCUGUGGCUGGGGGUGAAAGGCCAAUCAAACCGGGAGAUAGCUGGUUCUCCCCGAAAGCUAUUUAGGUAGCGCCUCGUGAACUCAUCUUCGGGGGUAGAGCACUGUUUCGGCUAGGGGGCCAUCCCGGCUUACCAACCCGAUGCAAACUACGAAUACCGAAGAAUGUUAUCACGGGAGACACACGGCGGGUGCUAACGUCCGUCGUGAAGAGGGAAACAACCCAGACCGCCAGCUAAGGUCCCAAAGUCAUGGUUAAGUGGGAAACGAUGUGGGAAGGCACAGACAGCCAGGAUGUUGGCUUAGAAGCAGCCAUCAUUUAAAGAAAGCGUAAUAGCUCACUGGUCGAGUCGGCCUGCGCGGAAGAUGUAACGGGGCUAAACCAUGCACCGAAGCUGCGGCAGCGACGCUUAUGCGUUGUUGGGUAGGGGAGCGUUCUGUAAGCCGUUGAAGGUGUGCUGUGAGGCAUGCUGGAGGUAUCAGAAGUGCGAAUGCUGACAUAAGUAACGAUAAAGCGGGUGAAAAGCCCGCUCGCCGGAAGACCAAGGGUUCCUGUCCAACGUUAAUCGGGGCAGGGUGAGUCGACCCCUAAGGCGAGGCCGAAAGGCGUAGUCGAUGGGAAACAGGUUAAUAUUCCUGUACUUGGUGUUACUGCGAAGGGGGGACGGAGAAGGCUAUGUCAGCCGGGCGACGGUUGUCCCGGUUUAAGCAUGUAGGCGGAGGUUCCAGGUAAAUCCGGUACCUUAUUAACGCUGAGGUGUGAUGACGAGGCACUACGGUGCUGAAGUGAUAAAUGCCCUGCUUCCAGGAAAAGCCUCUAAGCAUCAGGUAACACGAAAUCGUACCCCAAACCGACACAGGUGGUCAGGUAGAGAAUACCAAGGCGCUUGAGAGAACUCGGGUGAAGGAACUAGGCAAAAUGGUGCCGUAACUUCGGGAGAAGGCACGCUGAUAUGUAGGUGAAGCCCCUGCGGGCGGAGCUGAAAUCAGUCGAAGAUACCAGCUGGCUGCAACUGUUUAUUAAAAACACAGCACUGUGCAAACACGAAAGUGGACGUAUACGGUGUGACGCCUGCCCGGUGCCGGAAGGUUAAUUGAUGGGGUUAGCGGCAACGCGAAGCUCUUGAUCGAAGCCCCGGUAAACGGCGGCCGUAACUAUAACGGUCCUAAGGUAGCGAAAUUCCUUGUCGGGUAAGUUCCGACCUGCACGAAUGGCGUAAUGAUGGCCAGGCUGUCUCCACCCGAGACUCAGUGAAAUUGAACUCGCUGUGAAGAUGCAGUGUACCCGCGGCAAGACGGAAAGACCCCGUGAACCUUUACUAUAGCUUGACACUGAACACUGGUCCUUGAUGUGUAGGAUAGGUGGGAGGCUUUGAAGCGUGGACGCCAGUCUGCGUGGAGCCAUCCUUGAAAUACCACCCUUUAAUGGCUGGUGUUCUAACGUAGACCCGUGAUCCGGGUUGCGGACAGUGUCUGGUGGGUAGUUUGACUGGGGCGGUCUCCUCCCAAAGAGUAACGGAGGAGCACGAAGGUUGGCUAAUCCUGGUCGGACAUCAGGAGGUUAGUGCAAUGGCAUAAGCCAGCUUGACUGCGAGCGUGACGGCGCGAGCAGGUGCGAAAGCAGGUCAUAGUGAUCCGGUGGUUCUGAAUGGAAGGGCCAUCGCUCAACGGAUAAAAGGUACUCCGGGGAUAACAGGCUGAUACCGCCCAAGAGUUCAUAUCGACGGCGGUGUUUGGCACCUCGAUGUCGGCUCAUCACAUCCUGGGGCUGAAGUAGGUCCCAAGGGUAUGGCUGUUCGCCAUUUAAAGUGGUACGCGAGCUGGGUUUAGAACGUCGUGAGACAGUUCGGUCCCUAUCUGCCGUGGGCGCUGGAGAAUUGAGGGGGGCUGCUCCUAGUACGAGAGGACCGGAGUGGACGCAUCACUGGUGUUCGGGUUGUCAUGCCAAUGGCACUGCCCGGUAGCUAAAUGCGGAAGAGAUAAGUGCUGAAAGCAUCUAAGCACGAAACUUGCCCCGAGAUGAGUUCUCCCUGAGACCUUGA